UACGUAGGGGGCAAGCGUUGUCCGGAAUCAUUGGGCGUAAAGCGCGUGUAGGCGGCCCGGUAAGUCCGCUGUGAAAGUCGGGGGCUCAACCCUCGGAUGCCGGUGGAUACUGUCGGGCUAGAGUGCGGGAGAGGCGAGCGGAAUUCCUGGUGUAGCGGUGAAAUGCGCAGAUAUCAGGAGGAACACCAAUUGCGAAGGCAGCUCGCUGGAACGUUACUGACGCUGAGACGCGAAAGCGUGGGGAGCAAACAGG
rnacentral:rRNA from 1 species